rnacentral:rRNA from 1 species
AUGCUCAAUGACAGAAUAAAUACAUGUGACCUAUUGACUAGGAAGAAUAUGCACCUUGACUCCACUAUGUGUGUCUUAUGCAAUGCUGAAGAUAUGGAAGACAAAACUCACCUUCUCUUUUCUUGCCCAUUUUGUCAAGGUUUUUGGUGGAAUAUUGGCUUUGAAUGGAACACAGAUAUGGAUAUCCAUGAUAUGAUAAUGGACGCUAAACAAAGAUACCACCUUACUUAUUUCAUGGAAAUUAUGAUUGUGGGCUACUGGUGCAUCUGGAAUCAAAGAAACGACUUGAUAUUUGAAGGAAUCCCUUGCUCAAUUUCUGAAUGCAGAUAUGACUUCAUCAGAACAUUCAAGCUAACCAUGCUGAGAGCCAAACCAAGUCUGAAGGAUGGCAUGUCAUCCUGGAUUGAUAAUAUUUAA